ensembl:lncRNA LINC02153 long intergenic non-protein coding RNA 2153
GGGCAGGUAGCCCGAGGGGAUGUGAAUGGGACACCGACAGCAUCUGCUAGCUUUGGCAGAUGGGAGCUAGGGCCACUCCAUGCUAAGGGACAGCAUGAACAAAAUGAAGGAGAAGAUGGGUUGAGUGAGGAGCUCGCCAAGCUUUGCUCCAGAGGGAGAGAGUAUUUGAAAUUGGGACUAUCUGCAAAAAUCACCAAAUAUAUGAAGGGCAGCAAGGAAACUCUAAGAGGGGAAAAUGGGCAGCAGUGUGGAGCUGCUGCACACCACUGAUGAUGGGAGGUGUUAGAGAGGGAAAUGCCUCUUGUUCUGGGGUGAUGAUGAUCUUGCAGCACCGGCCUGGGCCGGCAGUUGGACAAUGGUGACCGGAUGAGUGGCCAGUCAUGGUUCCACUCAAUGCUGGUGAAUGAACUAUCCCCUGGCAGUUUGCAAAGCUCAGGUCCACAGCUGACUGUGGAACUGGAAGUGCCACAGCACCCACCCCUGCCGCCAAGCCGUGCCCCACUUCUGCUGCUAAAUGGAGAAAGGAUGGAGCCUACAUUAGAAACCAGAGACCUGGCAAAGUGGGUGGGACAGGAGGUUCCUGGCAAGCGACAGACAGAACUACAGAAUGCCGUAAGAGAAAGGAAGGUGGUUGGUCUUUCAGUCAGAAGUGCUGGCUGGACAUGGAGCACUGCUACGGUGACCAGCGCAGCCACCACUAGGAACAGCGACUCUCCCAGACCCUCCCUCACCUGCCACCCAUCGUAGUGGCUGCUCCUCUUGAACGGCUGGGGCGAGAGGGAUACUGCAUGCGAUGGAACUGAUAAACCAGUUCAAAUAGCAUUAGACUCACUCACCGAUACUGUCUCAUUGAAACACAUUGCUCAUUUAUUCCUCUUCGUCAUCCUUUGAGACACAGUCAUUAUUUUCCAGAUGAGGCCUGCUCAAGAGCAUUUGGCUGAUGGGGGCUGAAACCUCUCACUGCAACCAGGUUCAUUUGGCUCCAAGUCCUGUGUGCUCUUUAUGAAGUCAUAGCAAGGCCUGGACUAGGGUGAGAAAGGACAGGUGCCUGUGAGGCAGGACUUAAAGGAGGCGCUGGCCCUCAGGGGCAUGCGAGGGCAGGGUGAGCACCUGAGAGUGAGGGCCUCCUUAAAGUCUGUGGUCCAGGGUCCUUUGGUCCCCUAAUCCCAGAGCAGAAAAGAAAGCCUUCAAAUCCAGCUGCUGCCUGAAGAGCCUCAGACUCACUCCCCUGGGGCAGCAAAGUGCAUUUCUUUACCCACAAGGCCCUGUAGUGCUGACUGGAAGAUGGGGCUGUCAGGGACUCAUGGGAAAGAAUGGCACAUUGGAUACAAACUCAUUCGGCUUAGUUUUACCCUGUGGCUGCCCCUGUAGUGUCAUUUGUGACACCAGGAAUAUGUUCCAUACCAACCGAAUAGCUUCUCUUCCUAUUCGUGCCAGUGCAUGGAACUAUAUAAUCAUUCAUCUAUUCAUUAAUUCAUUUAUUUGUAGCCUUCCUCUUUAUAUAGGCUUAGAGAGCCACUACUCGAAGCCAAGCCUUACGUCAGGCAGCAGAGAUACCAAGAUGAGGUUGAAGAAAACACACGGCUUUCUCCACUCAUGGACUCCAAUGAGGAUGGCAACAACAUGGGCUGAGACUUGACCUUGUGACUCCAGCCUAGGAUUAUAUAAGGAUGUGACUGACCUUAGAGGAUUUCACGGGAACUUAGCUGUACACGUGGAACCCAUUUAUUUGCUGACACUUCUCAUUUCCUUUCAGAACAAACCUACAUUCCCAGACCUAUAAUUUUCUUGAGAAAAUGGGUUUAUUAUAAGUCACUCAAUAAAACACCCUACCAUGGCUUCCCAGUACAAA